AUGACCUUUGAGGUCAGUGCACAGGCAGAAAGGGGCCUCCACCGGGGACUGGCUCCUGCCAGGCCAGAAGCAGGUGUCUGGCCCGGCCACCCGCCCCCAGCGCCGCCCCCACUGGGACCUCCCUCCCUUGUCUCAGCUUCAGGAGCCGGAAUCAUGCCGUGGGGGCAGGGCCCCACUGAUCCUGGGAGAUGGGCCCUGUGUGCCCACGGGGCCCCCACAGCGCCUCCUGUUCCGCUGCACGUGGGCUGGCGGCUUGGGGCCAUGAUGGAUUGUCCCAGGAGGCUGUCCAAUGUCCUUCUGAUGUGGCCAUCCUACCGCUGUGGGCACAUGCACCAGCUGUUCCCAGGUCCCCGCGGCGCGAGAGCCCCGUUGCUCUUCGGGAGUGAGCAGGAAGUGGGAGGGGGCACGGGGCGGGGCGGGCAGGAGGCCCCGAGUCACCGAGGCCGAAUCUCGUUCCGCCCAGCGGACCCCAGAGCCCGGUGUCAGGACACCCCCUCGCACGUGGCGUCCUGUUUGGAUGACAGUUCAGCGUGUGGCCCCAGCUACCCUGCGAAUGUCUGUCUGGGUGUGCAGCUCCCACGGAGGCGCGGCCCUGCCUCACUGCUCACACGUUUCUCUAGCAACGGAGACCCACGGCUGCCCUCACGUCCCAGGGGAGGGACCUCAGACAGCUGGAGGGUGGGGGGCGAGAGUCUGGGGGAGCCUGCCCUGGUGGUGCCCAGCGCAGCCCCUGGGGCUCCCCGCCCAGCCCAUCUCCCUCCUGGGGGUGGACUCCCCUCCGCUCAGCUGAGCUCGGGCCACCCCUGGGGCUGCGGGGUCAGACCACCCCCACAGCAGCCAGGACCACCCUGCUCCCCACGAGCUGAGCCAGGAGCCUCGAACAUCCCCUCGGCGCUGCGUGAAGGAGACCACAGCCUCCUGGGGUCUGGGCCCUCGUGCUGUCCCCACGAUGCAGGGCAUCUGAGUCCAGGGAGCCCUGGCGGGCAGCGCUGAUGGGGAGGCCGCGUGCAGAGACCCAAAGGCCAAAACCCUUCCUCAUGAACACAAAGUGGCUUCGGGGGAGCUACCGAUCAUCAGAAACUCAGUCUGCAUCUGAGAAACAGGGGCUGUCACUGGCCUGACCUGCGCCCAGGGUCCUGGACAGACCGAGGGAGCAGGGACUGUGGGGAGGCCAGGCAGCACCGCCUGAGCCUGGAAGGGGCUGUUCUCUGGGCUCUACAGUUUAGAAGGACUCAGGGGACCUGACACUUUACAGUUUACAAGGACUCAGGGCCCAUCUCUGCUGAGCCCCACCAAGAGCCUGGGAAGGCUGCGUGGUGCCUGCUUGCAGUGUGGUUGCCUAGGAAAGUCAGCUCCGAGCCACCACUGUCCCCGCGGCGCACAGGAGGGACACCAGGCUCCCGCUCAGCCAGAUGGCUGCAGCCCGGGCACCUGCUAAGUGCUGCCUGAGCAUCCUGAGCCAGUCCUCGGGGGACCCUUGUGACCUCCCCUCUUUACAGCGGCUCCCCCGGCUCCACAGGGCCGCACACGCCAGAGUCACCCCACUUUACACAGCAGGUACCCCCCCGGCUCCCCAGGGCCGCACACGCCAGAGUCACCCCGCUUUACACAGCAGGUACCCCCCCGGCUCCGCAGGGCCGCACACGCCAUAGUCACCCCACUUUACACAGCGGGCACCCCCCCCGGCUCCACAGGGCCCCACACGCCAGAGUCACCCCCCUUUACACAGCGGGUACCCCCCCGGCUCCACAGGGCCGCACACGCCAGAGGCACCCCACUUUACACAGCGGGUACCCCCCCGGCUCCACAGGGCCGCACACGCCAGAGUCACCCCCCUUUACCCAGCCGGUACCCCCCCCGGCUCCACAGGGCCCCACACGCCAGAGUCACCCCACUUUACCCAGCGGGUACCCCCCCCGGCUCCACAGGGCCCCACACGCCAGAGUCACCCCACUUUACACAGCGGGUACCCGCCCCAGCUCCGCAGGGCCAC
rnacentral:lncRNA from 1 species